UACGGAGGGUGCAAGCGUUAUCCGGAUUCACUGGGUUUAAAGGGUGCGUAGGUGGGCAGGUAAGUCAGUGGUGAAAUCUCCGGGCUUAACCCGGAAACUGCCAUUGAUACUAUCUGUCUUGAAUACCGUGGAGGUGAGCGGAAUAUGUCAUGUAGCGGUGAAAUGCUUAGAUAUGACAUAGAACACCAAUUGCGAAGGCAGCUCACUAGACGAAUAUUGGCACUGAGGCACGAAAGCGUGGGGAUCAAACAGG
rnacentral:rRNA from 1 species